AGGAAGUAAACGGUUUAUCCGUGUAAACACCAGGUUGGACUUAUGUGCAGGUAUUAACAACGGGUAAUCUACACAAUUUUGAAAGAUAUUAAGGUUUUUAACUCCACCAAUGUGGUCUAUUCAAAAUCACAAACAAUUUCAUUACUGUAAUUCGUAAAUGUCAAAAGACUGACAACAUCGUACAAGUGUAACAAUGGAGAAUCAGACUUGUAACAGCGAUGGUAAUGACAAUAGAGAUUGCAGUGACGAAGAUUUGAAUAAAGGAUCGGACGAUGCAGUGAAUGUUGUAAAAUCUCCAAAACAUACGUCUGACAUACACUCAGUUCUGCCUAAUAAAUUAAAUUACAUAUGUAUUGGCACUAUGGUAUCUGUUAUUGGCAUUGUGUUAACGGUAGUUUUGUCUGUAACAACGCUUGUCGCUAUCUCAACUGAUGAUAACACGCAUAGUUUUCAAUUAAAAAAAGAUAUUUCAAGAAUAUCGAAUCACUUAGAAAGUAUAUCAACGAAAAUAUAUAGUUAUAGUUCAACAAUAGAUGGACCACAACAAUGUGAGAAAAUCAACAAUAGUUAUCUUUACUAUGCUUUUCAAGAAGAAAACAGGAGACUGAAAGCCAAACUUCAAAAAACUAAAUCUUGAAAAGACGACCAAAAAAUUAGUUUUCAAUUAACAAAAGAUAUUUCAAGAAUAUCAAAUCAGUUGAAAAGUUUAUCAACGAAAACAAAUAGUUAUAGUUCAACAACAGAAAGACCACAAACAUGUGAAAGAAUUAACACUAGUUAUCUUUACUAUGUUAUUCAAGAAGAAAACAGGAGACUGAAAGCCGAACUACAAAAAACGAAAUCUAGAAAAGUUUAGUUUACUUUUAUUUAUAUAUGAAUAUCAAAAUUACCAACUUUAUUUCCAAUUCAAGAACAGAUGAAAUACUAUUUGUAAAAGAAGUCUAUCAACCAUGAAAUUUGGAUUUAAUGCAAAACCGAUGUAUAUAUGGUUUCAAUUUUUCACCGAUAAAAGACACCUUCGGUUACCAAAGUAUCUUCCUGGAGACAACAGAACCUGACAAUCAUAUAUGUCUGGUUACAACAGAACAUGACUUAUUACUCGGCACACUUGUCAGCCUCAAAAGUGCUCUUAUGGUUUCGGAAUUUACAUCAGUAUCUAAACAUAUUUCAUAUAAAAUCCUAGUCUAAUAUUUCGUUAUUGAGUAAAUGUAUUUCGCAACUUUUAAAUCAAUGACCGACCUUUUAAAUGGAAUCUCCUUUCGUCGUAUGCAGUUAUAUAGACAUUUGGACAAACAAUUUGGUGUUGCUAUUGCAUUCUUUAAAUCAGCUAAAAAUGCAUAACGUCUUGAAGUGUGUUUGUUCUUAUCGCACAAAUAAAAAUGAGUCACUCGGAGGUCUGCAGAUUUUCAAACAAUGGGAAAUUAGCAUACCCUGUACUCUAACAAAACCUGGUUGUCAAAACUCGAAUAGUUACCUGAAAUUACAUUUUGGUAUAAAAUUAUAGACUUCCAUCUAUAUUUCUACAACUUACAUACAUUUUAUUGGUCAUAAAAUCUGAGGAAAAUUCUGAAUUAAUUAUUCCACCUUUAGAAUGAAUAAGUGUCAAGUUUUAAGCUUUCAGCAAACACCAUUAUGUGUAAAUACAAAUUUAAACGAUAACGUUUGCUCUGAUGCGUCCUUGAUUUUAUUAAGAUUUUAAAUUGUUGGCAAAUUUUGUGGGCCUUAUUUCUUUUGCAGAUUCAAUAACAUGUGCAGACAAUGAUAAUAAACGGAAUCAACAAGAAGGUAGAAAAAAACCAUUGCAAGUUAGUUGUAGCUCGGUCUCAAGUGCAUACAACAUUUAUGGAUGGGUUUCUGCCAAUAGAAGCUUAUCAUUUGGCCGUUCAGAUCAUUUCAAUAUAAUAACAAAAUUUUUAUUAUUGUAUCCCGAAAUACCUGAUAAUGGUAAAAUAUUAUUUGAGUUUGGUCUUACUACGUUAGCUGAUGAAUUAAUAUUCAAUUAUCCAGUUAUAAUUGUCAGAGGUCAAAGAUGUGAAAAAGAACUUGGAAUUUGUCUUUAUGUAAUAGAUAAUGCAUUGACAGAACUGGAAGGCCAUGUUUUUGAACAGAUGUUGGAUUAUAUACAAGGGCAACUAACUCUGGAACUUCAUAAAUCAUAUUUUGUUCUUAUGUCGAACCAGAAGAACUUAUAUAUUUCAAAUAUGCUCAAUUUUUCCUCUGAAGUGAAACUUUGGCCAGUGUUUGGAUUUUACAAUACACAUCUUAUUAAUAUAUCACAAACUAUUUUUUCCGAGAACAAAAUAAGCUUCAACAGAACAACCGUUGACCCACAUUUUUUUGUUUCUGAAGACAACAAUACGAUAUCAAAUUUUAAAUUGCGGUCGAAAAGAACAAUUUUGUCUGCAUGGGAUAUUAGGAUUUUGUUCAUUGAAAUUGCCUUCUUCACUGUUUCUACAAUUUUAUGCUUCCUGUUUUUUUGUUGCAAUGACUUUAAUGGUAAAUUUUUUCAAAUCUUAUGUAAUAUUACGUUGUGCGUGUCAUGUUUUCUUUGUAUACCACUUUCAUUAUAUUACCUCUUCAUGAAUUGGUCCUUACAAUUGCUUUUAGUAGUGAGUACGUUGCUUGGACUUUUACUUUAUCAGAUAAAAUAUAAAACCAUGGAAUUAAAUCCCAUACCAUGUGCUAUUAUCACUUUUCUUUGUGCUACGUACGUUGCGGUCUUUUGUAAAGAGAUCAGAUGUAUCUUUUAUCUAAUAUUCUAUUAAAAAGUGUUUUACUUUAUAGCAGUAUUGACCUACACGUCAAGAUAUUAAAAAAAAUACUGAUCUGCCAAAAUUUUUGCUUUCAUUCUUAGUUGAACAAUUUCCUCUCCCAGUCGUAUUUUUAUAACAAACUAUUUAAAAUUGCCCGUUUAUAAAUUUUGAAAUUAUACAUAAACUAAGGUUUCAACUCCCUCAGGCAUAGUUGGCCUUGGAUGGAUUGGGCUAUUUUUUUAAGUCCUUUUUGGUUUAUAGCUCUUCAACGAUUUCGGUCCUUAUACAUCAUUGGCUUUCAAAUAUUCGGCUUUGAGCGUUCCUUGAUGAAGGUAAAUCUAGAAAAGCUCUUCGGACGUAUGAAACUUAUAACGUGUUGUUUUCAUUUUUUUAAGUAAAAAAUAAACGAUGUUAAUUUCUCAUACUUCAAAUAUGAGUUUUCAAAACAAAAUCAAAAUAUAAGGAUCACCGUUCAUAAAAGGGAAAAAAACCUAUUUCAUUGUGGUUUACAUUGACAUUGAAACAAAUUUCUUUUUGAAAUAUUGAAAUAUGAUAUACCUUGUGAUCAAUUUUUGAAAUUUGGACAAUUAUUUAUAAAGACAAUUAUAUAGCACAAGAAUAUAGUAAAUAAAACCAAAAUAACCAUUCGUGGCCAUGAAAACAAAUGCUAUAAAAAUACUGAAGAUGUUAAUAGUAUCCUUUAAGUUAAUCAAUGACCAAUACAUCAGAUCUGAAUAGUUUUUAUUAUCAAGAAAUAUGAAACUGCAAUACACUGUAUAGGUCAUCUUGAAUAUUUUAUAGAAUAACCAUGUUAAUAAUAUUAUUAUCAACAUAUACCUAGAUAGUAUUACUAUACAGCAGUUAACAUUCACUAUCCUGCAUUCUAUUGAAAAUUAUAUUUAUGCAUUGUACAAGAUCAUGCUUUUUCUAUGAUUGUUUUGAUACUGUCUUUACACAUUAAAUCUAUCGGAUGUGUACUGAUUGAUGUUUUAUCUUAGAUACAUCAUUUUUUAUUAGUUGCUAUACGUUUUGAACUACCUUCCAGUUAUGCCAUUUUCAACUGAUCUUUAUAGUUUACCCAAGUUCAGCUGUUGCCCCACCUCGCUAAAAUGAGCAUUGAUAAUUUCAUUCGAAGCUCGUAUUAAGUGCAGCUCGUUAGGGACCGUUUUGCAUAUUUGUACAAGAUCCCGCUAUGUCAGAACCAAUACUCGAUUUAAAAUAAGAUGAUCUAUUAGGCGUAGCUUCGUCGAUAGCGUAUGAAGAGCAGUAAGAAUCUUAUGUUUGUUAAGGGAGGGUUUCUGGGCUCCUGAAAACAUGUUUUAUAUAGCUCGUCAACUGUUUCGUUUCUUAUACAUCAUUGGUUUUUUUAUAUUUGGAUUUUAGCAUUCCUGAUGAAGAUGAAUCUAGAAAUGCGCUUCGAAUGUCUGAAAUUUAUAAAGUGUUCUCUUUUUUAACCCAGUCACAUUGCCUGUAAUUCAGAGGUUGUUAUUUCUUGCUACAUAUUAAAUUUGUUUCUCCGUAAUUGUUUUGUACAUGAAUCAGAGCUUUAAUUUGUCAUGUUGGGGCUGUUUGUAGCUUGCUAUGCAGUAUGCAUUUUGCUUAUUAUUGAAGGCAGUACUGUGACCUAUAAUUUCCACGUCAUUUGGUCUUUGGUUGAGAGUUGUCUAAUAAGCAACUUCACCACAUCAUCUUUUCUUUUUUUUUUUUAUUUUUUAACUAAUAUGUAUUAACUAAAAGUAGUUUUAAACCAUUUUGAUGUUUUAAAAUAAAUUUAAUGGUUAUUUGAACUAAUGAUUUAAAAUGAACGGAUCAAAGAGAAAGUUUUUAAAAAUAUGCUUCUCAUGUUGAUAGAUUAGUAGGUAGGUCAAUGACUUGAUUAUACUGGUAAGUUUCAAAACAGAUUACUUUAUUAAAGGGCUGCCAUAUCAAUCAGUAAUUCUUGAGGAAGUUAUACAGAUACCAGCUAUUAUACAGGGGCAAUUAAUUUAGUCUCGUUGAACGAAUGCUGUCGGCAAAAUGUAGGGAUGAGGUAUGGUGUAAGAGAAGUAAAUACAAUUGAAGGCGGUGCAAGCCAGUAAAAUACAGUAACCAUUGAGGUAUAUAGGACGAAAAGUAAUUAUAAGUUACGAAAGGAACAAAAAAUCGAUAUUUAAGAUAUGAAGCAGGGAUUAACUGAGAUAAAAAAAAAUAUUAAAGCUUAGAAGCAAGAAAAAAAUCAACCAACAUAUCUACAUGAACAGCUGGAAUGUGUUGGUCCUAUUGGGGUUAUUGAAAUAUUGCAGUAAAACUGUUAAAUACUUGUUUUAUGUAAAGCUGUAUUUUGUGGUGUUAAUUAGCACUAUGGGAUACUUUGUUUGCCAUGUAUAUUUGGCACGAGAAUAAAUAUAGACUAAGGUUUAAACUUGGUUGCAAUAUAUAUUUUUGUUACACCAUGGGUAUGCUGCCUUCACCAUUUAAGAUAUUUUAAGGGAAUUACUGAUUACUAUUUAUAAUUGGUUGUACUUCUAUUUUUAUUAUAUAUAUUAUUGUAUAUAAGUGCUGAAACUAGAUGCAGAAAGAAAUUUUGAUAUAUUUUUUGUGAUGAAUUGUACACAAGAAACAAUUAUAUUUAAAUGUAUAUUGAAUCACGAUGCGACCACAUUUUGAAAACAAUCAAUAGCUGACUAUGUUGUAUUUCCUUUUAUGAUAAAAUUGCUGACAUCAUAUUACAUAUUAUAAGUCAAAUAAUAUGGUGAUGACUUUCUUAGCUAAAAAAAAUGGUUUAAACAAAUUACUAUUUUGUUGACGGAUUACAUUUCAAUUUGUCGAAGAUGACUUGAAUGAAUACAUUCACUCUGAAGACAACUAACAAGUCCUAGGCGCGACUGCCUAGAGAAUAUCCUAAAGCUGUUAAACAAGAGACUGUUGUGUAAUUAAAAGGGCAAUUCGAUUUUUGAGACAUUUAAGGUAGCGAGCAUAAUUAUAAUAUUUUGUACAUUGUUAUAGUAUUGAACUGAUUUGAUGAAGUUAUUGUAUAUAAUAUUGUUGAAUUGUCAAUUCCACAGGAAUUUUGUUUAAUACUUUAUAUUAGUUAAGUGAUGUCAGUGUGAUUUUUUUUUAAAUGUCCUGUACCAAGUCAGGAAUAUGGCAGUUGUUAUCAAAAAUCCGUUGCUAUAUAUUUUGGCGUUUGUUUUUGUUGCAGUUCAGUGUUUCUUUUGUUCCGUUGUUUUCCUCUUAUACUUGAUGUUUUUCCCUCGGUUUUGGUUUGUGACCCGGAUUUGUAUUCGCUUAAUCGAUUUAUGACUAUUGAACAGCGGUAUGCUGUGGAUUCAUUUAUUUUGUGGGUACCAAUUUCCGUGGAUUAAAGAAAACUUUCGUGGAUAUUCAAUUUCGUGGUUUUGCUAAAGUAUACAUACAAGUCUAUGGAAAACUUGUAAUUCGUUGAACAUUUAAAUUCGUGGUUCACCUGUACCCACGAAAUCAAACAAAAAUUGGUAUCCAACGAAAAAUAAUAAAUCCACAGUACUCCUGUUGCCUUUAUUAGUUCAUACUGACUUUAAAAGGACAGUUGUUAAUUUAUAUAUGCAUUAAUUUUUAGAUGGAUGCAUUUGUUCGGGGUGUUUUUUAAUAGGGGAAAAUUAAACAUUUAAAAAAAAAUUAACAGAACGAUAUAAGUUUCAUGCUUCCGAAGCGUUUUACUUGCAUGAAAACGUGAAGAGGUUUAUAUACGUUAAUAUUGUAAAAAGUCUGAUAUAUAUUGUCAAAAUUGACAAUCCAAUACUUCGAAGACGCAUUACAUUCUUUGGGAGAGGCAGUGAUAUAAAUGUGUGCACUGGUGAAAUAUUGUCAUUUUUGUAUUUUGAUGGUUUAAAUGAUUUAUUUUGUAGUUAUUCAUAGUUUCAAAUUUAUUUUGAUGAGCAUAUUACGUACGUUUCACUUUGAGUUAUAAAAUUUAUCGUUAGCGUCAAAUAUGGCGCAAAAUUGACUUGUAUUGUAAAAAAGGUUAUAGUUUUGUCAAUAUCCUAAGCGUAUACCCAAACGUGUACAUUUAUAAUUUCUGAACUGGAAUAAUUGAUAUGCCAAGAUUGGUUAAGCCACAAUAUUUUAUUAUAAAAAACAUUUUGAGUCGAGGUCUUCCAUAUUUUUGUCAACGUUUGAUGUUAUGUAACGUUUUUGCUUAAAAUAUUAAUUUCCGGUAAAGUGCGUAUAAAUACUUGAGCCAGGUUGAGUUCAUUAGUCUAUGCUUUGUUUACACUUUGGCCUACAUCAAGGAUCCCGGGUUUUUCAAGGGAUAAAAAGCAGCGCAUUUAGUAGUAUGCCUCGCAUAUUGUAUAAUAAAUUGUCGUAGUUAAGAAGUAGGAAGCAACACAGAUACAUAUAGCUGUUAUCCUCGCAUCUCUGCGAUUUCUUUGCAUUGUCGAAUUUUAGAUAUUCCCGUUUUGUAUGUAUAAAAUUACAAGAAUGUUAUCGUAUAAAUCUCGUCUUUUAUGUGAAUUACAUAAAGUUGUCCUUGGAAAUGCAUAGAAACAUUGUUCAUGUAUGUAAAUAACUAUCAGCUGUUGGAGAUUAAGCAAUUAUUGUUCAUAUCUAAUAAACAAAGUCAUUUAUUUAUA